rnacentral:misc_RNA from 1 species
CGCACCUUGCACCCUUUGGCAUUCCGAAGGGUACAUCUGUUUGAGUGUCAUGAAAACCUCAGCUUCUAUAUUUGCUGUAUGGCUAAUAUCAGAGGUUGGAUGUUGAGUGCUGCUGUUUUCAACAGCUCACUCCAAAUAUAUAAGCGAUCCUUUUACAAUUCGGAUUGACCCAAUGUGAUAAGCCUCUUUCAUUGGGGAUGCCUCUUCAGGCAGCCGGAUAACAGAAGGCAGCUUCAAAACCUGGCUCUUAAUUUUAGACCUCAAAUCAGAUGGGACUACCCGCUGAACUUAA